rnacentral:rRNA from 1 species
UACGGAGGAUGCAAGCGUUAUCCGGAAUGAUUGGGCGUAAAGCGUUCGCAGGUGGCUGUGUAAGUCUGCUGUCAAAGAGCAAAGCUCAACUUUGUAAAGGCAGUGGAAACUACACUGCUAGAGUGCGUUCGGGGCAGAGGGAAUUCCUGGUGUAGCGGUGAAAUGCGUAGAGAUCAGGAAGAACACCGGUGGCGAAGGCGCUCUGCUAGGCCGCAACUGACACUGAGGGACGAAAGCUAGGGGAGCGAAUGGG